rnacentral:rRNA from 1 species
CGGCAACAGCUCAAAUUUGAAAUCUGGCCUCUUUCGGGGUCCGAGUUGUAAUUUGUAGAGGAUGUUUUGGGUACCGCGCUGGUUUAAAUUUCUUGGAACAGAAUGUCAGAGAGGGUGAGAACCCCGUC